GACGAACGCUGGCGGCGUGCCUGACACAUGCAAGUCGGACGGUUCUUGUACCUUCAAGCUUGCUUGUUGGUGCAAGGAUAGUGGCGGACGGGUGAGUAACGCGUGAACAUCUACCCAUUGGAGGGGGACAACCCGUCGAAAGGCGGGCUAAUACCGCGUAAGCCGCGAGGUGAGAGGCUGCCUAUUGGUGGCCGCCGAUGGAUGGGUUCGCGUCCUAUCAGCUGGUUGGUGGGGUAACGGCCUACCAAGGCGAAGACGGGUAGCCGGUCUGAGAGGAUGGCCGGCCACACUGGAACUGAGACACGGUCCAGACUCCUACGGGAGGCAGCAGUGGGGAAUAUUGGGCAAUGGGGGAGACCCUGACGCAGCAACGCCGCGUGGAGGAAGAAGGUCUUCGGAUUGUAAACUCCUGUCUUCUGGGACGAAUAAUGACGGUACCAGAGGAGGAAGCCACGGCUAACUACGUG
rnacentral:rRNA from 1 species